rnacentral:rRNA from 1 species
CCUACGUGCGGCAGCAGUGGGGGAUAUUGCACAAUGGGGGGAACCCUGAUGCAGCGACGCCGCGUGGGUGAAGAAGCGCCUCGGCGCGUAAAGCCCUGUCAGCAGGGAAGAAAAUGACGGUACCUGAAGAAGAAGCCCCGGCUAACUACGUGCCAGCAGCCGCGGUAAUACGUAGGGGGCAAGCGUUAUCCGGAUUUACUGGGUGUAAAGGGGGCGCAGACGGCGAUGCAAGCCAGGAGUGAAAGCCCGGGGCCCAACCCCGGCGAGCCGUUGAACCUGGCGGGCUGGAGUUGGAGAGAAGUACGCGGAAUGCGCGGUGUAGCGGUGAAAUGCUUAGAUAUCGCGCAGAACCCCGAUUGCGAAGGCAGCGUACCGGCUCCACACUGACGCUGAGGCACGAAAGCGUGGGUAUCGAACAGGAUUAGAUACCCGUGUAGUC